UGCGUAGGCGGCUAGAUAAGUCAGAGGUGAAAUGCUACGGCUUAACUGUGGAAUUGCCUUUGAAACUAUAUAGCUAGAAUAGAGUUGAGGUUGGCGGAAUGUGACAUGUAGCGGUGGAAUGCAUAGAUAUGUCAUAGAACAUCGAUUGCGAAGGCAGCUAACUGGGCUUUUAUUGAGCUGAGGCACGAAAGCGUGGGGAUCAAACA
rnacentral:rRNA from 1 species